rnacentral:rRNA from 1 species
CUACGGGACGCUCCAGUGGGGAAUAUUGCACAAUGGAGGAAACUCUGAUGCAGCAACGCCGCGUGGAGGAUGACACUUUUCGGAGCGUAAACUCCUUUUAUAUAGGAAGAAGAUGACGGUACUAUAUGAAUAAGCGCCGGCUAACUCCGUGCCAGCAGCCGCGGUAAUACGGAGGGCGCAAGCGUUACUCGGAAUCACUGGGCGUAAAGAGCGUGUAGGCGGAUUAAAAAGUCAGAAGUGAAAUCCUAUAGCUUAACUAUAGAACUGCUUCUGAAACUCUUAAUCUAGAAUAUGGGAGAGGUAGAUGGAAUUUCUGGUGUAGGGGUAAAAUCCGUAGAGAUCAGAAGGAAUACCGAUUGCGAAGGCGAUCUACUAGAACAUUAUUGACGCUAAGGCGUGAAAGCGUGGGGAGCAAACAGGAUUAGAUACCCCAGUAGUC